CCACGUCGAUAGGCCGGGAGUGCAAGCGCGGUAACGCGCUGAGCUGACCGGUACUAAUCGCCCGAUCGGCUUGAUCGC
rfam:Methylobacterium sp. Leaf456 contig_21, whole genome shotgun sequence.